AUGCAAGUCGAACGGCAGCACGGGAGCAAUCCUGGUGGCGAGUGGCGAACGGGCGAGUAAUACAUCGGAACGUGUCCUGGAGUGGGGGAUAGCCCGGCGAAAGCCGGAUUAAUACCGCAUACGCUCUAUGGAGGAAAGGGGGGGAUCUUCGGACCUCUCGCUCAAGGGGCGGCCGAUGGCAGAUUAGCUAGUUGGUGGGGUAAAGGCCUACCAAGGCGACGAUCUGUAGCUGGUCUGAGAGGACGACCAGCCACACUGGGACUGAGACACGGCCCAGACUCCUACGGGAGGCAGCAGUGGGGAAUUUUGGACAAUGGGGGCAACCCUGAUCCAGCAAUGCCGCGUGUGUGAAGAAGGCCUUCGGGUUGUAAAGCACUUUUGUCCGGAAAGAAAACCAUCGCCCUAAUAUGGUGGUGGGAUGACGGUACCGGAAGAAUAAGCACCGGCUAACUACGUGCCAGCAGCCGCGGUAAUACGUAGGGUGCAAGCGUUAAUCGGAAUUACUGGGCGUAAAGCGUGCGCA
rnacentral:rRNA from 1 species